rnacentral:rRNA from 1 species
GCCAGACCUAGCCCUACACAGCCCUUAACUCAACUACCAACAUCAACCCAAACCAACCAAACCAUUUACACCAAUAAAAGUAUAUGCGAUAGAAAUUAUCAACAGGCGCCAUAGAGAUAGUACCGCAAGGGAAAGAUGAAAGAACAACUAAUAGCACAAAACAGCAAAGACCAACCCUUUUACCUUUUGCAUAAUGAACUAACCAGAAAAACCUUGACAAAGAGCCCUUCAGCCAAAAACCCCGAAUCCAGACGAGCUACCCGCGGACAGCACAAAGAACCAAUUCAUCUAUGUUGCAAAAUAGUGAAAAGAUCCUCAGGUAGAGGUGAAAAGCCUAACCGAGCCUGGCGAUAGCUGGUUGUCCAGAAAUUGAACCUAAGUUCAACUUAAAAUUUGCCCAAAGAACAUAACAUCAAAUCUCAACACAAAUUUUAAAUAUAAUCAACAGAGGUACAGCUCUGCUGACAAGGGACAAACCCCACCUAGAGAGUAACCACCCCCCCCCCCCCCCCCAUAGUAGACCUAAAAGCAGCCACCAAUAAAGAAAGCGUUCAAGCUCAACUAGCAAUAACUCCAAAAAUACCAAAAGCCACACCCAACUCCUAAAACCCCACUGGACCAAUCUAUAAUAUAGAAGAGACAAUGUUAGUAUAAGUAAUAAGAAUAACUUCUCCACGCACUAGCUUAUAUCAGAACGGACCUACCACUGAUAGUUAACAGCCAGACUUCCAUACUCCCCCAAAUAUCCCCAAGUCGUAACUCACUGUUAACCCAACACAGGAAUGCGUACUGGAAAGAUUAAAAGAAGCAGAAGGAACUCGGCAAACAUAAAUCCCGCCUGUUUACCAAAAACAUCACCUCUAGCAUAACAACUAUUAGAGGCACCGCCUGCCCAGUGACAUAUGUUCAACGGCCGCGGUACCCUGACCGUGCAAAGGUAGCAUAAUCAUUUGUUCUUUAAUUAAGGACUUGCAUGAAAGGCCCAACGAGGAUUUUACUGUCUCCUACUUCCAAUCAGUGAAAUUGACCCCCCCGUGAAGAGGCAGGGAUAACCAUAUAAGACGAGAAGACCCUACGGAACUUUAAUUAACUAGCCUAAUCAUAACCCAUACAAACCUAGCAGGGACAACUUUCCAUGACCUAGACUAGCAAUUUCGGUUGGGGCGACCUCGGAGUACAAAAAAACCUCCGAAUGACCAUGCACCCAGACCUCACCAGUCAACGUGCCCCAAUAUCAACUCAAUUGACCCAAGUAAUUGACCAACGGAACAAGCUACCCUAGGGAUAACAGCGCAAUCCUAUUUCAGAGUCCAUAUCGACAAUAGGGUUUACGACCUCGAUGUUGGAUCAGGACAUCCCAGUAGUGUAACCGCCACUAAAGGUUCGUUUGUUCAACGAUUAAAGUCCUACGUGAUCUGAGUUCAGACCGGAGUAAUCCAGGUCGGUUUCUAUCUAUAAACCUUUUCUCCCAGUACGAAAGGACAAGAGAAACUGGGCCUACUCUACAAAAGCGCCCUAAAACCUAAUAGAUGACCAAAUCUAAAUCUAGUAAAUCACCUAACAACCAACCCAAAACCAGGGUUU